rnacentral:rRNA from 1 species
GAUGAACGCUGGCGGCGUGCCUAAUACAUGCAAGUCGAGCGAACAGACGAGGAGCUUGCUCCUCUGACGUUAGCGGCGGACGGGUGAGUAACACGUGGAUAACCUACCUAUAAGACUGGGAUAACUUCGGGAAACCGGAGCUAAUACCGGAUAAUAUAUUGAACCGCAUGGUUCAAUAGUGAAAGACGGUUUUGCUUUCACUUAUAGAUGGAUCCGCGCCGCAUUAGCUAGUUGGUAAGGUAACGGCUUACCAAGGCAACGAUGCGUAGCCGACCUGAGAGGGUGAUCGGCCACACUGGAACUGAGACACGGUCCAGACUCCUACGGGAGGCAGCAGUAGGGAAUCUUCCGCAAUGGGCGAAAGCUUGACGGAGCAACGCCGCGUGAGUGAUGAAGGUCUUCGGAUCGUAAAACUCUGUUAUUAGGGAAGAACAAAUGUGUAAGUAACUAUGCACGUCUUGACGGUACCUAAUCAGAAAGCCACGGCUAACUACGUG